ACUUCUAAAUGCAAAUUCUCUGACCACAAUCAAAGAUGAUGCUUUCUCUGGCCUUCCACAUCUAGAAUAUUUAUUCAUUGAAGGGAACAAGAUCGAAACGAUCACCAAAAAUGCCUUUCGUGGUCUGCGAGAUUUGACUCAUCUGUCACUUGCCAAUA